rnacentral:rRNA from 1 species
AUCCAGACUCCUACGGGAGGCAGCAGUGGGGGAUAUUGCACAAUGGGGGGAACCCUGAUGCAGCGACGCCGCGUGGGUGAAGAAGCGCCUCGGCGCGUAAAGCCCUGUCAGCAGGGAAGAAAAUGACGGUACCUGAAGAAGAAGCCCCGGCUAACUACGUGCCAGCAGCCGCGGUAAUACGUAGGGAGCAAGCGUUGUCCGGAUUUACUGGGUGUAAAGGGCGUGCAGCCGGGAAGACAAGUCAGAUGUGAAAUCCCGCGGCUCAACCGCGGAACUGCAUUUGAAACUGUUUUUCUUGAGUACCGGAGAGGUCAUCGGAAUUCCUUGUGUAGCGGUGAAAUGCGUAGAUAUAAGGAAGAACACCGGUGGCGAAGGCGGCCUGCUGGACUGCAACUGACGUUGAGGCCCGAAAGCGUGGGGAGCAAACAGGAUUAGAUACCCGUGUA